AACACAGCAACUGAAAGAAAGCAUGAAUUUCUGGGAAUAGUAUUAGGAUACAGGACUCCUGCAGAGCUCACCAGUUCCUUGCUCUGCACAGCUGCCUUCUCAGCUGGGGGUCUGAAAUCAGAAAAGACAGGAAUGACCAUGAUGCAUUUUCCUCACUAUGAGAAAAAGAGUAAUGUGCAGCCCAUAAACUGGAGAGCCUAUCUGAUACUUAAAAAUGAGGGAUUUUUGCUUUCUUCGGCACAACAUAGCAUCUCAGGGUGGUAGUUGAGUGCAAAAUAAACCGAGAUGCAUUUUCUCUGCAUGCUGGAAACAGUCAUGCCUGUUGCCAAGGAAACAUCCUCACUCGGCAAAGGUCACCUUUGGAAACAACUAUAAGACUUCAAAAGCAGAUCAAUAGAGAAACACCAAGACCUGAACUUCCUAGCUAAUGGUGUCUCCUAUUUUAAAUGUCACUUUUAACAGACACUAGCUUAUAUGAUUGCUGUGUAGUGGGCAGCAGCAAGGCAAAAUUGUCCGUGUAAUAAGUCGAGCUCAUAAUUUUUCAAGCUCUGUUCUUGGAAGCCUGUGGUUUUUUGGUGGAGAUGCUUUGAGUGGGGGAAUGUGCGGGACUAGCAGCCUGGACAUGAACUGACAUCCAGGUUUAAAAAGAGAAGCUCCAUUUAAGACCUCAUUUGGAAAAAAAAGGUUCCACUUAUUUAAAAAAAAAUGUAAUUCUUUAUGCAUAAAAGCAUGCUUUCUUGUACUUUGUCUAAAUUAGUGAGGUUUUUAUUUUAAUUUCUGAAUAUAUUUUCUCAUAUAUUUGGAUUGUGCAGAUUUUGUAUCAAUAAAGCAUGAUUUUAUUUACUCAUCA